rnacentral:piRNA from 1 species
UAGCAACGUGGACUGAGGUAUUGGGAGU